rnacentral:lncRNA from 1 species
GUCACACCUCUGAAGCUCCUAAUUAGUGAUCUCACUGAAGUGUAGGCGACGAGGUAAUGGUAGAUUGACUUCAACUGGGCCCAUGGCCUCAGUACCAUAAGCCAUCGAGAAUGGGGUUUCUCCUGUGGGGAUUCUAGGGUGGUUCGGAUUGUCCAAAACACUUGUGGCAGUUCAUCAACCUAUGCCCCUUUUCACCCUGUAAGGCCUCUUCACACUCCUUUGUCCAUUGGAACCUCUUUCCCUCUUUAAAGAUAUUGAAGAACGAGAGGCACUAAUCAGUGACUUUUGAGAUAAAAUUGCUGAGUCCAGCCACAGGACAAGUUAAGCUUUGGACCUUUUUGGGCUUCUCAGGAGAUCUCAUUUUAGUUAGGGUAUGGAUUUUCUCGGGGUUGGCUUCUAUUCCCCUUUGAUUGACCAUGUAUCCCAAGAACUUCCCAAAUGCAACACCGAACACACAUUUAAGAGGGUUGGGCCUUAUCCUAUAUCUUCGUAAAAUUUGAAAGGUCUCGUUCAGGUGCACUAUAUGGUAACUUUUGACAAGCAUGUCGUUUACAUAGACUUCCAUUGUCUUGCCAAUGAGAUUUGUAAACUUCUUGUUGAUAAGCUUUUGAUAGGUAGGGCUGUCAUUUUUCAAGUCGAAGGGCAUCAUUUUGUAACAAUAUAGGCCUCUAUCCUUGAUGAAGGAGGUGCACUCUUCAUCGAUCGGGUACAUGAAAAUUUGGCUAUAGCCUAAGUAGGCGUCCAUGAAGCUCACCAACUCAUGUUCGACAAUGAAGUCCACCAAUUGAUUAAUUUUGAGAAGCGGGAAACUAUCCUUGGGACAUGUCUUUUUGAGAUUGGUAAAGUCGAUGCAUACCUACCAUUUUCUUUAUACUUCUUCACAGAACUGAGUUAGAGACCUACUUCUGAUAAAUGGCCUCUCUGGUGAAACUAUUUUUGACCAGCUUCUGUACUUCUUCCUUUAAAGCCUCUUACUUUUUUGAAUUUAGAGCUCUUCUCUUUUGUUUAUGCGGGGCAACCUUAGGAUCAAUUUCCAGUUAGUGGCAACUGACUUUGGGGUCGAUGCCCACCAUGUCCUCAUACCUCCAUGCGAAGACAUCCAGGUUUCUACUUAGGAAGCCCUUCAGUUUUCCUUUGAGAUUUUUCGAGAGGCCCAUACCAACCUUCAACACUUUGGCAGGAUCCCGGGGGUCUAUCAGAAAACUUUCUAGCUCCUCAAUUGAGGCUAUUUGAGGCUCACACUCAACCACGUGAAGAUCAAUUUCAUCAAGCACAAGUGCUUUUCAUUCGAAAUGAGCAUCAAUCAUAUCAAUGUCUUUAUGCUCCAGGGUUCAGCUUUCCUUAAGGAGCUUAGGUAGUACUCCCGCGAACCUCUCUAGUCACCCUUCACAGUUGCCACCCCAUUUUCGAUCGAGAAUUUUAUACACAAGUGGUGGACGAAAGUGAUAGCUCUCAAAAUCUUCCAGUGCGAGUCUUCCCAGCAUCCCAUGAUAAGAAGAUCGACUGUCGACAAUCAAGAAUUCCAUGAAGUUCAAUUUGGUUUGAGGUGAAUUUCCUAUUUCCACCGCAAGUGUGAUCUUUCCCAUUUCCAUCUCCGAUGAAUCCAUAUAAGGGAGUGGUUGUAGGAGUUAACUCAUGAUCGAAGAUCAUCUUAUCAAAAGUAGAUCCAAAAAGGAUGUUCACUGAACUGCUAUUAUCAACCAGCAUUUGUUUGAACCUAUUUCGAGCUAUCACAACUCUUAUCACAAGUGCAUUACAGUGGGAAAAAUGAACCCCCUUCUGCAUUUUCUUGAGUGAAGAUGAUAAGGGGGUGCUUGGUUCCCUCUAGAGCUAUUGUUCACUAUGUAGCUUGUCAAUAGGGGGUGUUUCGCCUCCCGGGCAGAAUUCUUUUAUGCGUUCUGUGUUUCGUUGCCUACAUAGGGCCUCCAAAUAUGGUAUCUACCUCAUGUAUUCGAGCCUCCUAUUGAGCCUAAUGACCUCUGCGUUGUCUGUGCCCUUCUCUGGACCUUUCUACAUUUUGCUCCCUCCUCUUACGGGGAGAUAUAUCCCUUUGGCGGAAAGCGGCCUCCUCACGCCCAGGUUACUGGUCAUACAUAGGUGGGAGCCAUUCACCAGAGAUGAAUCAUUUCUUUUUUUGUCCUUGGGACUUGCUCGUCAAGGGUGACAUACAAAGUCCUAGCAAUCCGUAGUGAGUGGUGAUAUGAACAACACUGGUGAGAACUCGGAUUCUACCUAGGCCUCGAGCCUCACCCUUACCUCUUCCCUUAUGGGGGCUUGUUGUGCAGGUUCAACGUGUCGUGUGUUCGUGGCUGGCGUUACAUCUUUAUAAGCCAGGGUCGGUACCGCAUUCAAAGUGGUGGCUACAAGUGCCUACCCUGAGUUUUUAUUACCAGUUGAAUUCAUCUGGUAGUCCAUAAAAUGGGAGGUCGGUCCUCUUGCAUACUACCUUUGUUGGGGUGGAAGGCCUCGGCUAGCCCAGUUCCUAUGUUCAAUCAAUUCCUCAUUGAGUAUCUCUCGUCUCAUCAUUUCAAGCAACGCGUCAUAGGUAGUGGGAUCCUGGUUUUAUAAAUCCCUCCAAAAUAAAGUAUUCAUGUUGAGACCCCUUCUUAAUACCGACAAGGCUUCACGAUCAAUGACUUGCACGCAAUACGUCAUUUUGUCCAUAAAGUGCGAUAAGAAGCUUUUCAAAGAUUCCCCAGGCGCUUGUCUCAUAUCUUGGAUGCAUUGAAUGGGGGCCUUCCCUUCCUUGCUUAUGACAAAUUAUUUUAAGAAAGUAGUUUAGAACUCUGGCCAGCUCCUUAUGCUCCUAGGUGGUAGCCUGAUGUACUAGAUUUCAGCAACUCUACUAAGUAUUAAUGGAAGGCCCUGCAUUUCACUAUUAGGAUAGCGCCUCUCAAACUCAUAUGAAUUUUAUAAUGUUUAAGUGUUUUUCUGGUCGCCUCUCCCGUCAUAUUUCAGUACCUUCAGCAUGACAUAGUAGCUCCACACUUGGGGCAUUUUUCAGGGCUCUCCAAAACAGUAAAUUUUCGUCAUCGUCGUCGUCUAAGUCAUAAGACCUCUGCUAUUCAUUUGAAUCAUUGUUUUCAUCAACCUCGUAACUGUGUGUUGAAUGAAAAAUGCCUGCUUGAUUCCUAGACUUCUCCUCCCUCUUUUGAUACCUAUUUCUUGGUAGAGCAGUGCAGGGAGCAUUUUCUUGCCUUCCUUCUGGUUGCUGAAUUGAAGGUGGGGGCUAUACCCUCGUGCAAGGCUUACGAGCUGUUAUUGCAACUUGGGCCUCGGCUCUACUGGGCUAAUUCUGUCAGACACACUACUGGACCUCCUAAGCCUUUUUUCUAGCUCAUGCACUAGGAAGAAGUUAUCUUCCAUAUUGUAUAGGACCUCGGUGGGUCGACAGGAAGCAUAGUUGGAGGAGAUAUAGAUCUCCACUUCCCUUUCAAUGGGUCUAACUCCCCUGUUGUGCCUAGAAGAUGUGGCUCACUGACUUUGAACCUCGUCUUCUUGCUGAUAUUAUUCGUGAGGCGCAUAGAAAGGCAUGGGAUGACCUUCCUGGCCCUGUAUUCGCAUUAGUAACUCUUGCAUAACUAAGUUCUAGUUGGUGAUGUUUCUCAUGUUGGUUGCCAUGGUAGCUAUUUCCCUAGUGAGCAGUGCCGCCAUUUGCAUCCCACCUCUUCUGUAGUGGUGGUGGGGUCGACAACGACCAGUUGGGACAGUCGCUGGUGGGAUCACACCAACAUUUUCUCUCACCCUCCUGGGGGGUACAUCUUCAUUAAAGCUCAUAUCCCUGGAUCUCAACUUCAAAUCUUCAAUUUAUGGGGCUUCCUCUUGUUCUUUUUCAAGAACAAAUCCUCUCUCAAGGGGAAUGCCCAAAUAUUUGUCUUACAGCAAGCUUUCACCACAUGGUUGCUCAUGGUUAUGGUAUGGCUUCCUACAGAAAGGGCCAAUCUGUUGAUCUUGUUUUCGAUUAGGGCCACGUGGACAACAGAUACCAAAUCCACCCACGCACACAUAAGACAAGUCCUACAAGCUAAGACACGACAAUUAUCUGGAACGGCCUAAAAAGGGGCGUGGGAACAGCUCAAAGGCAUGGGACGACAACGUUUGGAAUCCGACAUUACAUUUGAAGAGCGAUUGUACAAUAAUUAUCAAUCGUAGGGGAUUAAUGUUAUGUAAACUCAGUUGUAUUUGUAAGAAAAUGAAAUGGAGUGAAUUGUUUAUGUAUCUCUAGUAUUGAGUUUGUAUGAAAUUUACAUUAGCCUUAUAAUGGGAACAUUGUGGAGUAUUUAUAGUAGUGCAAGGUGAAUUGUGGCCCUUGGAUGGGAGUACGUGUGGUCUCAUCUCCACAAUCCAUACAUCUAAUCCGAGGCACCAUUAUCUUUGACUUGUUAAUCCACUUUACAUUUAUUAAGUGGUAAAAUCGCCACUUUGUUUAAUAAAACUUGACACUCAAACUCUAUGAUAGAUGUUGC